rnacentral:rRNA from 1 species
GAUGAACGCUAGCGGGAGGCUUAACACAUGCAAGUCGAGGGGCAUCACGAGGUAGCAAUACUUUGGUGGCGACCGGCGCACGGGUGAGUAACACGUAUGCAACCUUCCCUGUACAGGGGGAUAACCCGGAGAAAUUCGGACUAAUACCCCAUGAUAAUAUUAUGGGGCAUCCUUUAAUAUUUAAAGCUCUGGCGGUACAGGAUGGGCAUGCGCGACAUUAGCUAGUUGGUAAGGUAACGGCUUACCAAGGCGACGAUGUUUAGGGGACCUGAGAGGGUUGUCCCCCACACUGGUACUGAGACACGGACCAGACUCCUACGGGAGGCAGCAGUGAGGAAUAUUGGUCAAUGGGCGCAAGCCUGAACCAGCCAUCCCGCGUGAAGGAAGAAUGCGCUACGCGUUGUAAACUUCUUUUCCAGGGGGAGAAUAAUCCUGUCGUGACAGGACUUGACGGUACUCUGGGAAUAAGCAUCGGCUAACUCCGUGCCAGCAGCCGCGGUAAACUGUCUACG